AGCCCAAGGUUCCAUGGGCCCCUCCUUUGAAACUGUUCUGCCCCCAAGGCUCUUGCACAUCCAGCCUUUGGUGGGACUGGUGGCCUCAAAGAUCUCUGAAAUGUCUUUGGGGUCAUUCUCUCAGUGUCCUGAUGACUAGCACUUGGACAAUCUAUACUAAUUUCCUUAUCAAACAGUUGUUUGCCCACACCUAUGAGUUACUAGCUGUGUUAUUCAUCCACUGGCUCUUGCUUAACUUUGGCCAAGGGCUGCUCCUAGGAGGUUAAUUCCUGACACUUCUGAACUGUUCUGUGCGUGAGCCACACGCGCUACUAUAGUCCUAUAAAGCUCUUGAGCUGAGAGUUGCAGGUGCUUUCAUAAGAAGUCGAGUCAUGUAGAAGAGGGGGAUGGCAGUGGGAGAUGGGCGGGACGAUACCAGCACCUACUUGACUCUCCCCUGUCUAAGAUCGUUCCAUUGGUUUUCCACCAACUUAAGAUUUAGCUAAGCUCCUUCUCUUUGCUUACAAAUUUGCCUCCUGUCUAACCUUGUAAGAUUAUCUUCUACCUCUGAAUCCUAGACAGUGAUACCCACUGACUAUGUCAUGCUCUGUCACACCCUCACUCAUCUGUCUAGGCGAUUGCUUCCACCUGAGUUACCCUCAUUAGGCCUAACACAUUUUCUCUUUCAAGACUCUGAGCUCUCUCUUCCAUGAUGCAUUUCCAGCAGUUAGUCUCCUCUAUUCCCUGUGCCUGCAUGUUACAUGUACUGCAUUGUAACAAUGGUCUUUCAUAUUUUUUAAAUAUAUAUGUAUUUGAAAUACAUACGAUUAUAUAUUACAUAUAAUUGAAUAUAUAUUAUAUAUAUUAUAAAAAAUACUUCUUAAAUUUAAACAGAACAAAAAUGAACAAAAAAAAUGCACUGAAACUCUACCUCAGAGAGAUAAAUAUCUUUAAUAAUUUGGCGAACAUGCUACCAAUUAUGUAUUUCUUCACAAACACAUGCUCACAUACACAAUCACAUAAAUUUAUUCAAAUAUGAUUUUCUACUAGUUUCGUAAUUUACUUUUAUUUUUUACUCAACAGUAUGUCGCAUUCAUCUUUCGAAGACAGUAAAUGUAGAUCCACACCUUCACGUGUGAUGGUUGGAUAUGUUUGUUAAUAUAUGCUGUAAUUUGUUUAUCCAAGUCUCUCUGAGUCGUGUAAGCUAUUGUCUGCUGUCAAAAGCCCCAUAAUGGGUGGACCUAGCAGGGCCGUUGCUUAGUUACCUGUCUGUCUCCCCCUGUUGGCAGCUCCAGAAUGGUGUCUUUGACUGCUCACACCCGCUUUCUUCUAAGGAAAGAAGAGAUCUUUCUCUUUGGCUUAGUAGUUUCUGUGUCUUUUACAAAUACUUUUCUAUAAGGCAGAAGUGGGUGAUCACAAUCUCUUCAAUCAUAUACUUCAUUACCGAUUACCUAAUUAAAUCAAGGAAAGCCUCACAACACCUUAGAGCAAUGGGUUUUAAACACAUUUGAUCAUGACUCGCUUUAAGAGACACAUAUUUUUAUUAUGAAUCAGUAUGUGCUUUUAUAUAAACAAGAGUUUAUAAAAUGAUGCUCUUACAGCAUGUAAUGUAUUCUGAUAUUUUCUUUCCAUUCUAUCUCAUUUUAAAUAUAUAUUUUUAGUGAAUAUGGCAUUGUAUUUAUUUGUUUAAAUGUGGAUGUAACUCUCUAAAUUGACUUCAUGAGUCACUAUUGGGUUGCGACCACAGUGUGUAACACACUCAUGUAGGAUACCAGGAGGAAGACUGCUGAGGCUUGUUAGUCCUGCUGCCAUUUUUUUUUUUUUUUGACCUUACAGAUUCACUAUAAGCAUACGACCCUGAAAUAAUAUUUUCUUCUCCUAGCUGCCCAAGGUUUUAUAUUUUAAACGCCAAUCUCACUAUCACCACUACCACUAGGUAACCACAUACACAUCUAUUCUCGUUGACAGAAAUGGCUUCCAGCAAUGAACUUUUGAGGGAUUAUACUCAUGUGCCAAAUAAAAUAUGACAUUGUAUGUGUGAGUACGUACACAUACACACAGAGGUGGCCCAGGCUAGGCAGAAACUGAAACAUAGGAAAUAGAGUCCCUAUACAUAAAGUGAGUGCAGUCUAAUGAAAAAAAGGAUAACAGUUUCAGAUAGAUUGAAACUCCUAACACAGUUCUGCUUCUGUGAUUUGGGAUGAUGUCAGAGGCCUCAAGUCAGGAUCCAAGUGUUCUAAGGAGGCAAAACUACCCUCUAACCAGCACAAAGGACAAACUGUCCAGGUCCUGUUUUAUUCAUUAUUGGGAAUUCACCUCACCUCCCAUCCACACUUCCAGCAUAAGAAAGCAAAUCUUCUAUCAAUUCCCGUUCAUGAGGACCAAGGGGUCUCCAUGGGAUACCGCCUUUCCCCUACCAAUGACAUGAACCUCUGGCAGGCAGGACUCUCCCCACUUAAGUGAUUAGCCACUCCCCUGCUCUCCUUUGUCACCCGAACCUUCCCAUCAGAAAUUACUUUCCAGAAAAGACAUUUGAAAGAAUUAUAAGAGUGACAAUCACAUUUUCUUUUUGGCCCUUUUAGCUUUAGUUUUGAAUGACAGCCCUGAGAAGUAGGGGUUACAGGUGAAUUUAUCAUUUUUGUUGAUGUCACUCUAUUAGAUAACAGCACCAACCAACCAUCUGAUAUCUCACAUAUCCCUUUUUUUAUCCUAGCCACCUAUAAGUCCUCAAAAAAAAGCACUAGGAUUCAGAUCUUGGGUUCCAUGCCAGCGGAAGCACUGAAACUUUGGGAGAAAAAGGACUAUUCCGGAACCGGAGCUUUUAAAAUGUAUUUAUUGCUGACUUACGCAGCUUCUUGGUUUUUCCUGUUUUAAUCAGCUGUAUUUCAGGAGAAACACACACAUAGAGACCUGAAAUGGAAUCUCCUGUUCCUCACUUCUACCUUCCCUCCUUUUUAUCCUGAUUAUAUGUGAACGCCUGUGUUUGAAAAUGUGAACGCUAGAGAUCAACGUGCUCCACUCUUUCCUGCCAGUCCAUGAGGUUCUCUUCUAUCAACCUGACCAGGUAACUCCUUGCUGAGAACAGCAUGAAUGUUCACAAUGCACUGCUGCUCAGUCCUUAAAAGUGAAUAUUGUUUGGAUGAAUGUCGUCCUACUUCAGAAAUCAAAGAGCCUCCUCCAGAGUUGGCAGCCCAGAGCUCUUAGAAAGGAAAUUUAAACAGCUUCCCUAACUCACAGGGAAACCUGCUACCAAAAGAAUUACAUAUGGAGCCAAUGUAAAGUGUUGCUCAAAAUGGCCAUCAUGGAUAGCAAUUUUCAGUUGGCAAACUCCUUCCCAAAAUGUUCACUCCAGGAAGGAGAUGCUUGAGAAGACAGAUAGAUACGUGAAACCACAACUGCAUGCCAAGGUGCCCUGGAAGAUGUGUGAAGGUCUCUGAUGCCGGGAGAUCCCAGCUAGAACAGGGAUUCUGAGGUCACAACUUUCAUUCCAGAGGUCUUUGGACUGCACAUAGCUCGUUCUUACAUAUAUUUUGCGGAAUGAGAAAAGAGAAGAUUUCAGCAGCAUACAGCUCAACACUCCUAUGAAGUCAUUAUGGAAGAAUUACCACACUCCAGAGUGUGAGCUUUUUACCUUGACAACAUUUCCCUAGAAAUAAAAAGCAAAGGUUAAAGAAUGUGCUUAAGGUUACUCUGUAAGGAAGUAACGGAGCCAGAAUCCACGGACCAUCUGGGACCCUGAUA